rnacentral:rRNA from 1 species
GACGAACGCUGGCGGCGUGCUUAACACAUGCAAGUCGAACGGAAAGGCCUGCUUUCCCUUGUGGAUUGCGGGUACUCGAGUGUCGAACGGGUGAGUAACACGUGAGUGAUCUGCCCCCAACUUGGGUAUAAUCCUGGGACACUGGGUCUAAUUCCCGAUAGGACUGCAGGGUGGUGCCUGUUGUGGAAAACGAUUUUCUAGUGGUUGGUGAUGAGCUCGCUGCCUUUCAGCUUGUUGGUGGGGUAAUUGCAUACCAAGGCGGCGACGGGUAGCCGGCCUGAGAGCGUGGACGGCCGGAUUGGGACUGGGCUCAGGCCCCGACGUCUAGGGGCAGCAGGAGUGGGGGAAAUAGGAGAAUAGGCGGGAGCCUGAUGCAGCGCCGGCGGGUGGAGGAUGACGGCGUUGGGGAUGUAAACUCCUUUCGACCGAGAGGAAGCCACCUGGUUGGAAGGGUGGUGACGGUAGUGGUAGAAGAAGCACCGGCUAACUACGUG